rnacentral:rRNA from 1 species
UUAGAUCGUACCCACAUUUACUUGGAUAACUGUGGUAAUUCUAGAGCUAAUACAUGCAAACAGAGUUCCGACCGGAGACGGAAGGAGCGCUUUUAUUAGAUCAAAACCGAUCGGUGGUGGAUUUAUUCACCAUCGUACAAUUUGGUGAAUCUGAAUAACUUUAAGCUGAUCGCACGGUCUUGCACCGGCGACGCAUCUUUCAAAUGUCUGCCUUAUCAACUGUCGAUGGUAGGUUCUGCGCCUACCAUGGUUGUAACGGGUAACGGGGAAUCAGGGUUCGAUUCCGGAGAGGGAGCCUGAGAAACGGCUACCACAUCCAAGGAAGGCAGCAGGCGCGCAAAUUACCCACUCCCGGCACGGGGAGGUAGUGACGAAAAAUAACGAUACGGGACUCAUCCGAGGCCCCGUAAUCGGAAUGAGUACACUCUAAACCCUUUAACGAGGAUCAAUUGGAGGGCAAGUCUGGUGCCAGCAGCCGCGGUAAUUCCAGCUCCAAUAGCGUAUAUUAAAGUUGUUGCGGUUAAAAAGCUCGUAGUCGAAUCUGUGUCCCGCACCGCCGGUUCAUCGUUCGCGGUGUUAACUGGCGUGCCGCGGGACGUCCUGCCGGUGGGCUUAGCUCGCAAGGGCGGCCCAAAUCAAUCCUGCCGCGGUGCUCUUCAUUGAGUGUCGAGGUGGGCCGGCACGUUUACUUUGAACAAAUUAGAGUGCUUAAAGCAGGCUAAAAUUUCGCCUGAAUACUGUGUGCAUGGAAUAAUGGAAUAGGACCUCGGUUCUAUUUUGUUGGUUUUCGGAACCCCGAGGUAAUGAUUAAUAGGAACGGAUGGGGGCAUUC